AGAGUAAUUUGGACGUCUCGUUAAAAGCUUCCUUCGAGGGCAGCGAUAGCCUGCCUAUAUUAGACUCAAUAAUUAUUUAUAUAAAGCUUAUUACUAUAUAUCAGUAGUUGUUUCACUGAGAAUUGAUCCACUUUUCGUCAGGCCUAUAGACAUCUACAAGAAGUAAGAAGACAUACAGUAACCCGGAAGAAAAAACAAAGAAAUAUGAGUACUGCAUUCAUUGACACACCGGUGGAAAAAGCGUAUGGGACAGAAGUGUCUUUUUUCUUGCAUUGUCACUUGCGUGGGUAUGAUCGUCAUGGACAAGGAAAGUAUAUGGAUCAAGAUUACUACGAUAAAUAUGGUGCUCCAACGAACAAGGACCACUCGUGGGAAGAGGGCUAUCAUGUCGUGGAGAAAAAACUCGCAGAGUACUACGAUGUCGUAGGAAAUGACGACAUGGACUUUCCCUUUAUUGCUGGAGUCGGGGGAGGGGUACACCUCUACAAGCCAAUACACCAUCAUGAGCCAUGGAAUUGGACUGGAUGGGUACCCUUGCAGAAAGAAUGGUUUUGUCAGGGAACAUUCUUCAGAAACAGGUAUUUCCUGGCUCUUCGUGGUAAUGAAAUACAGAACAAUCUCUGGGAUUACCACCCUUACGAAGAGGAAGUUGAGGACA